rnacentral:rRNA from 1 species
UACGGAGGGUGCGAGCGUUGUCCGGAAUCACUGGGCGUAAAGAGCGCGCAGGCGGUCGUUCAAGUCGCGUGUGAAAGCCCCCGGCUCAACUGGGGAGGGUCACGCGAUACUGAUCGACUCGAAGGCAGGAGAGGGUAGUGGAAUUCCCGGUGUAGUGGUGAAAUGCGUAGAUAUCGGGGAGGAACACCGGUGGCGAAGGCGGCA